GUCCGUGCCGCUAUUUACUCUCAUGGGAUCCAAAACGGCGACAUGUGACUCUAUUGGUGUCAUGAUACGGUUUGGGACCAACAGGUGGCACUGUAGGGCUCCACCUGCAUCUGCAAACCUGUUGGUCAUUAGCUAGUUAGUGUAUAAAAGGACUCCUGCCCGAACACUCAGUGUCGGGUCAUUGGUUGCUGUUUCCUCCUGUCAUGUUCGUUUGUUUGCUGUUCCUUUGCUACUGUCAGGUUUGUUUUGGUCACGGUUCUGUUUUAGCUUCAGUUGCUAUUUUUGUUUGCUACUUUGGACUAUGAUUGUUUUUGGAUUUUGUUAUCUCUGUGUUUUAUCAAUACACUUCUUCAAGUACA